rnacentral:rRNA from 1 species
UAGUGGCAGACGGGUGAGUAAUGUAUAGGAAUCUACCUAGUAGUACGGAAUAAUUGUUGGAAACGGCAACUAAUACCGUAUACGCCCUACGGGGGAAAAUUUAUUGCUAUUAGAUGAGCCUAUAUUAGAUUAGCUAGUUGGUGGAGUAAUAGCCUACCAAGGCAAUGAUCUAUAGCUGAUCUGAGAGGAUGAUCAGCCACACUGGAACUGAGAUACGGUCCGGACUCCUACGGGAGGCAGCAGUGGGGAAUAUUGGACAAUGGGCGAAAGCCUGAUCCAGCCAUGCCGCAUGAGUGAAGAAGGCCUUUGGGUUGUAAAGCUCUUUUAGUGAGGAAGAUAAUGACGGUACUCACAGAAGAAGUCCUGGCUAACUCCGUGCCAGCAGCCGCGGUAAUACGGAGAGGGCUAGCGUUAUUCGGAAUUAUUGGGCGUAAAGGGCGCGUAGGCUGAUUAAUAAGUUAAAAGUGAAAUCCCGAGGCUUAACCUUGGAAUUGCUUUUAAAACUAUUAAUCUAGAGAUUGAAAGAGGAUAGAGGAAUUCCUGAUGUAGAGGUAAAAUUCGUAAAUAUUAGGAGGAACACCGGUGGCGAAGGCGUCUAUCUGGUUCAAAUCUGACGCUGAAGCGCGAAGGCGUGGGGAGCAAACAGGAUUAGAUACCCUGGUAGUCCACGCUGUAAACGAUGAAUGUUAAAUAUGGGAAGUUUACUUUCUGUAUUACAGCUAACGCGUUAAACAUUCCGCCUGGGGACUACGGUCGCAAGAUUAAAACUCAAAGGAAUUGACGGGGACCC